GCUUAUUUUCCUUUCGGUGAUUCAAAUAAUUCAUACAUCCUGUUUUUUUGUUUUAAGCAGUAUAUUAAGCGCUUAGUGGAACAUGCUUGUUGAUCUGGCGAAGAAUUUAUCAACUUAUACCAUGAAACUUACGGCAAACGAAGACAUGUAAGUUAUUAAAUAAAAAGUGGCCCAUGUAUACGUUUUGCACCCCCCGUCUCAUUGCGACGAUUUCGUUUCUUGCCACAUUUUUUCAUUCUUUAAGGAAAAGAAAUAUGAAAGCGACUUAGAAAUGUUAUGAGAAGGAGCAUAAAACACCGUCAGGCUGAACAAGAAUUUGGCUCAACUUUAACUUCUCUAAAACACUUUACCAGAGCCAGUCUUAAAUCAAUCAGAUCAUGCUGGCAUGAAGCAGUGGAUGAAAGACAACUGGGAGCCUAUCUCAACCCUAAAAAGUUAUGUGCAAAAGACCGUCUUAAAUCGAUUAGAAUGGAUUAGAAAAACGCCCCAACUUACAAUACGAGAGGUUAUGAAAGAAUACCCACAUCUUUUUGAUGUCCCUGGUUGAAAUAGACUUUGUAACAUUGUAUCCAGAUGUCGCAGAUAAUCUUUUUCUGUGAUUUACACCAGACACAGUAGGGAAAAUAAUUUGUUACGCAGAUACACAAACAGAAAAAUGGACAAAAUACUUGAAUAUUGCAACAAGAAACCUGAAUUCCGAUGAAGAGAAAAGAAAUGCUGCGAUUGGUCUCCUUCCAUGCGUUUUUCCUACUGAAAGAAAGAAUAA